CAAUCAUAUGCUUGUCUCAAAGAUUAAGCCAUGCAUGUCUAAGUAUAAGUGUUUAUACGGCGAAACUGCGAAUGGCUCAUUAUAUCAGUUAUAAUCUACUUGAUCGAAUCUGUUACUUGGAUAACUGUAGGAAUUCUAGAGCUAAUACAUGCAAAAAAUUCGGACCGGGGGUGACCUUGGGAAGAAUGUGUUUACUAGUCGAGAAACCAAGAUGGGGCAUUCAACUUCGGGCAACCGAGGGUUCCAUUCAACAGACGAAUCAUAGUAAGUUAACGCGA
rnacentral:rRNA from 1 species